rnacentral:rRNA from 1 species
CAGCUUGUUGGUGAGGUAACGGCUCACCAAGGCGACGACGGGUAGCCGGCCUGAGAGGGCGACCGGCCACACUGGGACUGAGACACGGCCCAGACUCCUACGGGAGGCAGCAGUGGGGAAUAUUGCGCAAUGGGCGAAAGCCUGACGCAGCAACGCCGCGUGGGGGAUGAAGGCCUUCGGGUUGUAAACCCCUUUCAGCAGGGACGAAGCGAAAGUGACGGUACCUGCAGAAGAAGCGCCGGCUAACUACGUGCCAACAGCCGCGGUAAUACGUAGGGCGCAAGCGUUGUCCGGAAUUAUUGGGCGUAAAGAGCUCGUAGGUGGUCUGUUACGUCUGCUGUGAAAACCUAGGGCUUAACCCUGGGCCUGCAGUGGAUACGGGCAGACUAGAGGUAGGUAGGGGAGAAUGGAAUUCCCGGUGUAGCGGUGAAAUGCGCAGAUAUCGGGAGGAACACCGGUGGCGAAGGCGGUUCUCUGGGCCUUACCUGACGCUGAGGAGCGAAAGCGUGGGGAGCGAACAGGAUUAGAUACCCUGGUAGUCCACGCCGUAACGUUGGGCGCUAGGUGUGGGGUCCUUCCACGGAUUCCGUGCCGCAGCUAACGCAUUAAGCGCCUCGCCCGGG